rnacentral:lncRNA from 1 species
GACUGACGGGAGAAACCCAGCAGCCCGGACACCAAGAAAGCCAGUCACCGUGAUUCUUCAUGCAGACAGCGCUUCCCAAAUGUUUCCCAGGGCAGCUUUGGACUCAAGAGAGACACCAGCGAUGGAUCUGAAAAGGGUUUAGGUGAUGUGGCUCCUCUCUGUGGCAGGAAGGAUGGAAGAAGAGGACAUCAGGCC